rnacentral:rRNA from 1 species
GAACUUAGCAGAGAUGCUUUGGUGCCUUCGGGAACUCUGAGACAGGUGCUGCAUGGCUGUCGUCAGCUCGUGUUGUGAAAUGUUGGGUUAAGUCCCGCAACGAGCGCAACCCUUAUCCUUUGUUGCCAGCGGUCCGGCCGGGAACUCAAAGGAGACUGCCAGUGAUAAACUGGAGGAAGGUGGGGAUGACGUCAAGUCAUCAUGGCCCUUACGAGUAGGGCUACACACGUGCUACAAUGGCGCAUACAAAGAGAAGCGACCUCGCGAGAGCAAGCGGACCUCAUAAAGUGCGUCGUAGUCCGGAUUGGAGUCUGCAACUCGACUCCAUGAAGUCGGAAUCGCUAGUAAUCGUGGAUCAGAAUGCCACGGUGAAUACGUUCCCGGGCCUUGUACACACCGCCCGUCACACCAUGGGAGUGGGUUGCAAAAGAAGUAGGUAGCUUAACCUUCGGGAGGGCGCUUACCACUUUGUGAUUCAUGACUGGGGUGAAGUCGUAACAAGGUAGGCGUAGUGCU